rnacentral:lncRNA from 1 species
CUCUCCCGCUCCGGGCUCGGGUUUCUAGGACUGCCUGGAGAAGUGUGUCUUGUGCACAGCUCUGGAAUGCAUUUGGCAGGCUGACGAGCAGCGAGGGGCAGCAUCCUGGAGGGAGGAGGGGUGCAGCUCGCCCGCGCGCCGCCGGCAGGUUUCCUCCCGGCCUGGAAGACCUCCGGCACCCGCCACUCGGCCUCCCGGCGCGCUAACCUUGCCCAGCCAGCAGACCUGCUUAGAGCAUCCAAUCGCAUGCGGGGCCUGCUUAGGGUCAGAGAGUUUAUUCCUUCACCAUAGGUUCCAGAGAAAGCUAUCCCCAGAUGCAAGUGAUUGCUAGGAAGUAGAAAAGGGAGCCCUACGUUGUGGAAGGAAGACAACAGUAUAGGACCAUCAGCAGGACCGGACAGAGAGGGGCACACCAGGCUGGCCUUGAACUCAGAAAUCCGCCUGCCUCUGACUCCCGAGUGCUGAGAUUAAAGGUGUGCACCACCACACCCGACAAGGAAGCCUGUUUUAAGAAGUGAUUCCAUGGAGGAGUUCUGCGGCGGCUCAGGGCUUGACUAAACAGUGGACCUCAGACAAGAGAGGCUAAACCAGGCUGCAGGUGACAGGAAGAAUUGAAUAAACUGAAAGCAAAGGGCAGCCUUCUAAUUACGCUUCGUGGCUAUGUGGACAACCUGGAGAAGUCUGGAAACAAGCCAGAAGCCCGAAGCCAGCAGUAGAGCUCUGACUGGCUUGUAUGCCUAGAAAGGAAGGGCUCUUCUUUCGCCUCACGGGCACAAAUGGGACCCACGAGCGCCGAUUUCAGACUAUUCUGAUCCCUUCAAAAAGAAAGUUAGGAGUCCAGGCUACUGUGAGUGAAUUUGAUUCUAAUUGUUUCAGAGAAUAUGGAAUAAAAUAUCUCAUUUGCAGUUGUU